UUAGUACGGAACUAUAGUCUCCACUUUGUCUCUUACCGAUUGGGGUGCACGCUGGAAACGACAUACUGGAUGGUAGACUUGCGCAGUUCGGUAUUGCGAGGGCUACGUAAAAUCCGGGUACCUUAGGCUAUCUCUUUGGACUUACCGCCUCUGUGGUUGACUUUACAGCUGUGGCUCCUUGUGAAUCAUGACGAGAGCUGUACCUAAAUGAAGCAGCUUACAUCAGUGGAGUACUGUUUGCUCAACAUUGUCACAGUGUUGUCACUGUCAACUCCAGUACAGUUUUCGGAAAUGAGACAGAGUGGGAUAAAGACUGCCAGUUGACAAUUAAGAUGAAGUCGGUCAGUCAGUGCAGCUAUUGCACAUUUCUGACUAUUGCAGGUGCUGUUGCUGUAGUGCAUGGUGAAGUGAUGUCGUCAAAGGUAGAUGUCUUUUCAAACACAUCAUGACUUUAGUUAAUAUGCAAUGCUUUUAGAUUAGUAAAUUUGGUGAAUACCUGAUCUGUUAUGCUAGCAACUCAAUAAUCCUUUUUGUAACAUGGAUUUAUUAUCAUAUUUAUUGGUCUAUGUAAACACUUUGGUAGCUUGUCCAUGAUACAUACAUAGUCAGAUAUGGAUUUUGCUGCAAGAGAAUGGUCAAAAUCCAACUACAUUUUUUAAAGAGUUUUGAGCAGUAUAUUUACUGUUGUGUGCACAAAUUCGAUAGACCGUGUAGUGUCUCACUUUAUGAGACUACAAUAGACAAUCAAUGAAGCAAGCAUGGUGUCUAGCUGCAAUAAAUUGUUACAAGUAUAAAGUGAAUUGUGUUUUGUUGCACUUGAUACCAGGAUCCCAGCAUGCAAUGGUUGUAACUCUUUAUUCUGUUUUUGUUUAGCCUAGUACUGGAUACUGUCUUAGGUCCUUUUUGAUUUUGUCUGUUACUGUUGUGUGUCUCAUCUAGUAGAGAGUCAGUGAUCACUAGACUAGUGAUAGUGCUGCAUCUACUUGUUAAAUACACACCAGACUUUUUUGUAUAAAGGUUGCUCUUUUAGUUGACAUCAAUUUACUUAUAUAAGUCAUUAGCAAUUGGCUACUUG